CCUACGGGGGGCAGCAGUGGGGAAUUUUGGACAAUGGGCGCAAGCCUGAUCCAGCUAUUCCGCGUGUGGGAAGACGGCCUUCGGGUUGUAAACCACUUUUGUAGAGAACGAAAAGUCUGUUGAUAAUACCGAUAGAUGAUGACGGUACUCUAAGAAUAAGCACCGGCUAACUACGUGCCAGCAGCCGCGGUAAUACGUAGGGUGCGAGCGUUAAUCGGAAUUACUGGGCGUAAAGGGUGUGCAGGCGGUUUUGCAAGAUGGAUGUGAAAGCCCCGGGCUUAACCGUGGAAAGCCAGAAAUGACUGCAAGACUAGAGUGCGUCAGAGGGGGGUGGAAUUCCAAGUGUAGCAGUGAAAUGCGUAGAUAUUUGGAAGAACACCGAUGGCGAAGGCAGCCCCCUGGGACGCAACUGACGCUCAUACACGAAAGCGUGGGGAGCAAACAGGAUUAGAUACCCUUGUAGUC
rnacentral:rRNA from 1 species